UCUACUUUGGACAGCCUUCUGAAAGGAAGAUAAUACAAGAUGGCAUCAUGAGUCCGCAUGUUCACAUGAUUAAAGGUAUUCCGGUAGACGAUGGGGAUGCGUUCCAUUAGAUAGUAGGCGGGGUAACGGCCCACCUAGUCUUCGAUGGAUAGGGGUUCUGAGAGGAAGGUCCCCCACAUUGGAACUGAGACACGGUCCAA
rnacentral:rRNA from 1 species